ensembl:miRNA
CGGUUUAUACAUUCGGUUCUCUAGCUUUAUGAUAUCAGAUACACUCAUACAGCUAGAUAACCAAAGAGAAAAACCGGCCCUGUG